rnacentral:rRNA from 1 species
UACGAAGGGGGCUAGCGUUGCUCGGAAUCACUGGGCGUAAAGCGCACGUAGGCGGACUCUUAAGUCGGUGGUGAAAUCCUGGAGCUCAACUCCAGAACUGCCUUCGAUACUGGGAGUCUCGAGUCCGAGAGAGGUGAGUGGAACUGCGAGUGUAGAGGUGAAAUUCGUAGAUAUUCGCAAGAACACCAGUGGCGAAGGCGGCUUACUGGUCCGGUUCUGACGCUGAGGCGCGAAAGCGUGGGGAGCAAACAGG